ensembl:lncRNA
GGGUGGUGGGGGGGGUGUUACUGCUAUCUACAGGUGGGGGGGGUGAGACUCCCCUCCCAUUAUAAUACACAGCCUUCAGAGCACAGGAACAACACUGCAUUAUAAACCCAGUCUAAUCCCUUAUGAGCCGUUAUAGCGUAGAGGUUAGCAGUAAAGUCACCAGGUACUUCAGCCGUCCAGCCCAAUGCACGCUGGGAGAUGUUAUUCAGGGGGGGAGGAGCCUAGCAGGGAAGCAGCCGGGGGAGGAGCCUAGCAGUGAAGCAGCCUGGUGACUGCCAGCAGCUGGUCUGUGGUGGGUUAUUGAUCAGGACCAAGCUGAUACAGUAUUAUUGAUUAUUGAUUGGCAGACACCAGAGACAACAUGAACAUAGACCUCUCGCCUUUGAGAGAGUCAGAGCAGAGCAAGGUGAAGCUGCCUCUAGAGUCUACAGGCACCGAUCUAAUGGUCACUUCCUGGUCUCCCCCAACAGCCAAGGUUAGGCUUGGUGGAUGGCAUGCUGAUCCUAGAUCGGUACUAAACAAGAGUCACCUGUGUUUGUUCACACCCGUCACAGUGGCCAAGAUGAACGACGAGAGACAAGACAGGUAGGAGGAAGGAGGAGGACCGGACCACAAUCUGUCAAAUGUCUUUCAAACCACACAUCUCUUAACACAACACUUCUCCAGUCCACACCUCCUGAGGGUUACAAUAAAAAAGCAGGAUCAAUGAGCUAAGCCAGAUAACUCUGAUAAACAACCAGAAAUAACUGCUGGUUUCCUGGUUGUUUAAAACAGUCUUUAAAAAAAAAAAAGAUAACAUUCUCAGUUCUCUAGGGUCAGAGAUAGUAAGCACUACAGUCCUGUCAGGUUGACUGAUCCUAGGUCAGUUCUCUAGGGUCAGAGAUAGUAAGCACUACAGUCCUGUCAGGUUGACUGAUCCUAGGUCAGUUCUCUAGGGUCAGAGAUAGUAAACACUACAGUCCUGUCAGGUUGACUGAUCCUAGGUCAGUUCUCUAGGGUCAGAGUUAGUAAGCACUACAGUCCUGUCAGGUUGACUGAUCCUAGGUCAGUUCUCUAGGGUCAGAGUUAGUAAACACUACAGUGCUGUCCUGUCAGGUUGACUGAUCCUAGGUCAGUUCUCUAGGGUCAGAGUUAGUAAGCACUACAGUCCUGUCAGGUUGACUGAUCCUAGAUCAGUUCUCUAGGGUCAGAGUUAGUAAGCACAACAGUGCUGUCCUGUCAGGUUGACUGAUCCUAGGUCAGUUCUCUAGGGUCAGAGUUAGUAAACACUACAGUGCUGUCCUGUCAGGUUGACUGAUCCUAGGUCAGUUCUCUAGGGUCAGAGUUAGUAAACACUACAGUGCUGUCCUGUCAGGUUGACUGAUCCUAGGUCAGUUCUCUAGGGUCCCCUGAUCGCGCAAUGUUCUGCUUGUUGAUUGGCCAGUUGGCCAGUUCUGCUUGUUGAUUGGCCAGUUAGACAGUUCUGCUUGUUGAUUGGCCAGUUAGACAGUUCUGCUUGUUAAUUGGCCAGUCACAGUUCUGCUUGUUGAUUAGCCAGUUAGACAGUUCUGCUUGUUGAUUGGCCAGUCACAGUUCUGCUUGUUGAUUGGCCAGUUAGACAGUUCUGCUUGUUGAUUGGCCAGUUAGACAGUCCUGCUUGUUGAUUGGCCAGUUAGACAGUCCUGCUUGUUGAUUGGCCACAGUUAGACAGUUCUGCUUGUUGAUUGGCCAGUUAGACAGUUCUGCUUGUUAAUUGGCCAGUUAGACAGUCCUGCUUGUUGAUUGGCCAGUUAGACAGUCCUGCUUGUUGAUUGGCCACAGUUAGACAGGUCUGCUUGUUGAUUGGCCACAGUUAGACAGUCCGGCUUGUUGAUUGGCCACAGUUAGACAGUUCUGCUUGUUGAUUGGUUAAUUGGCCAGUUAGACAGUUCUGCUUGUUGAUUGGCCAGUUAGACAGUCCUGCUUGUUGAUUGGCCAGUUAGACAGGUCUGCUUGUUGAUUGGCCACAGUUAGACAGGUCUGCUUGUUGAUUGGCCACAGUUAGACAGGUCUGCUUGUUGAUUGGCCACAGUUAGACAGGUCUGCUUGUUGAUUGGCCACAGUUAAGACAGGUCUGCUUGUUGAUUGGCCACAGUUCGACAGUUCUGGUAGUUGAUUGGCCAGUUAGACAGUUCUGCUUGUUGAUUGGCCAGUUAAGACAGUUCUGCUUGUUGAUUGGCCAGUUAAGACAGUUUUGACAGGUAACUCUGCUGUGAAUUGUCCUGUCUGUCUGUUGGUUCUGAAUCUCUCCAGAUAUUUGGUCUUGAGCCUUGACAAC